rnacentral:rRNA from 1 species
CGCGGCCUAUCAGCUUGUUGGUGAGGUAAUGGCUCACCAAGGCGACGACGGGUAGCCGGCCUGAGAGGGCGACCGGCCACACUGGGACUGAGACACGGCCCAGACUCCUACGGGAGGCAGCAGUGGGGAAUAUUGGGCAAUGGAGGAAACUCUGACCCAGCGACGCCGCGUGCGGGAUGAAGGCCUUCGGGUUGUAAACCGCUUUCAGCAGGGAAGAAGCGAAAGUGACGGUACCUGCAGAAGAAGCACCGGCUAACUAUGUGCCAGCAGCCGCGGUAAUACAUAGGGUGCAAGCGUUGUCCGGAAUUAUUGGGCGUAAAGAGCUCGUAGGUGGUUCGUAACGUCGGAUGUGAAAAUCUGGGGCUCAACCCCAGACCUGCAUUCGAUACGGGCGAACUAGAGUGUGGUAGGGGAGACUGGAAUUCCUGGUGUAGCGGUGGAAUGCGCAGAUAUCAGGAGGAACACCAAUGGCGAAGGCAGGUCUCUGGGCCAUUACUGACACUGAGGAGCGAAAGCGUGGGGAGCGAACAGGAUUAGAUACCCUGGUAGUCCACGCCGUAAACGGUGGGCACUAGUUGUGGGAACCUUCCACGGUUUCUGCGACGCAGCUAACGCAUUAAGUGCCCCGCCUGGGGAGUACGG